UUAUCACUGACAUCUUCCUUAGUCAUCAUACGUUGCAGCUUUUGUAACUGUCCACAAAAGCUUUCCUUACGCUUCGAAUGGUAACAUCCAUCCCGCACUGCACCGUAGUUAACAGUAAUAAGAAUCUAUACAUAUACCAUAUAUCUAUACGUUUUUAUAACUGUCAGAACUGCACUGCAGUUAAACCGCUUGUCCUGCACCGCUCAAUCCACUGUUACCAUUCGGAGCCUUAGUGUCGCCCUUCUCCGCCGUCGGAUCAAGAACACGAUUCAUUUCGAAACGGCAAAACUGCCAAGUCGUAAAAAAAAAAAGAACUAAAAAGAAAUAAAUAAAAAGCCAUUACUAUUAGCUAACCAUGGUUAAAUUUGACUAACCCGAUAUAGAAUCACCCAAAUUUCGGAAAAGGUCAAACCCUUUUAAAGUAUUUACAAUUCAUGCCAUUGGGUCAGCUUUUGCUAUAAAUUCGGUUGCUGAGACUCGCUAGGUUUGCCGAACCAACCUCCCUCCGGGACCUUCUAAAGAGCAAAAAUCUCUCAGUAGCCUCCUUCCUUCUUCUCAGAAGACUUCUUCUAAAUCUCUCUUUUGACUUUUAAAAUAUGCAAAGAAAAACAAUGGUGACAACAUCCUCUCGUACCAAAUCAAACGGCCAUGUGCUCCGUUCUCAAUCGCCGUCGGGUCGAUUCUGCGGCGAUUACUCCAAAUCCACCCCGUCGUCGUCUUCGUCAACCUUCGCUUCGUCUACGAGCUCCAGCUUCUCGUCUCCGUCCUCAUCCUUCUUCAGCAACCACCACCGAUCCGCGUCUCCGACUCGCGUGAACCUAUACAACCCUCAGCCGAUUGCUCAGUCCUUUCGUUACUCUCUCGACAGCAGAUCCAUCUCCCCUACCAACAGAUCCAUCUCCGUUACGAAGAAGCCUCAGCCUAGCAGCCACCACCACCACCACCACCACAAGAUCUCUUCCUCCCCGAGGAGGUGUAUGUGCUCUCCGACGACGCAUCCCGGAUCUUUCCGAUGUAGUCUUCACAAAAACGUCGCGAAUCCGCACGGUCAAGGCGCGUCGUCGUCGUCGUAUCCGACGAACAGUUUGAAUAUGAGGAGAUCCGCGAUGACGAAUUCGCUGGUGAGAAUCGGUGGGGUUGAAGGAGAGUGGGUGAGGAGAGCCUUGACGACUCUGAUAAGGCCUUCGUCGCAUCAUCUGAGACGAAGGGCUGCUUAUCAGCCUCGUCCCAGUAGGCUAUCGAACAUGUCGAAAGCCACCGAGUGUAAUUGAUCUUGGUUUUGAUUUCAGAUUUCAGGUUUCAGGUUUGCUCUUCUCUUUUCUCCGUUAGAUCUGGAGAAGGAAGACUCUAAUCUAUAGCCGGUGGCGACUGUGGAUGAGAAUCUCAACCUUGGAAUCGAGUUUUGUAAAACGAAGAUGAUCUUAUAAUUUUUUGUUUGUUGUUGGGUGAAGAAAGAUGUAUAUAUUUACUCUAAAAAAAAAAGAAGAAAUGUCGGACUCGAGAAAUUGAACCUAGCUAGAAUCAAAUCUAUAAGAAUCUGUGUUUGUCAGAUUCCCGUUUAUACGUUUCCCGUGAAGUCGACGUUCGUUGACCGUCCCGUUCACCGUUGUGCGUUCCGUUGAUUUUCGAGGUAUGCGUUGUUCGUCGUGUGAGGUAUGGUAUGUUCUUUUAUUUAUUUCGUUUUUGCUUGUUUAUUUUUUUUUCUUUUUUGGGUGUGUUUUUUUUUUUUUUUUGCCUUUUUCUCCUAUUUUGCAGGUUGCGUUUGGUAAUGGAGUUUGAACUACUUUAGUACCCGGUUACAUGGAAUUGAAAGAUGAACAAAAAAUAACCAGCAGAAGUGACAUAGAAAAAUGGUUUCGAAAUGGUCUUUCUGGAUGAACAUUGAUGACAAUAUUUCACAUAAGGACUGGAGGAAAAAACGAGAAAGUAUAUUUUGGAUAGAUGAUGACUGACCAAUUAGAAAACGACCGAACAUGAAAAUUAGCAGAGGAUUUGCUGGAAAAUAAAUUUGAAUAAUCGGAAAUUGGGAAUCAUUACAUUCAUGAACAUCUAAGUUGAGAAUAUUUGAAAGAGGAGAAAACUAGAGCUAAGAGUGUUAAAGACCGUCUUUAUGAUCUUCGGAACUAUUAUACUCGAUAUUAUACAUCCAAGAUACGUCCAUCAUUAGCAUUAAAUAUUAGUGAUGAAUAGAAGGGUUGAUUACCACAAAGUUGGAUUAGACUUGUAAGCUUCUCUAAAUUAUGGAUCCCUUCUGGUUAAGAUCGGUUUAUGUUCAAUCUGUCUUGGUUUAAGCAUUGAACCCAUACAAUUUUUCUUGGGAUAUACUACCAAAUUGUC